UUUAAGGACUUACCCAGAAAAGUUUAAGGAAGGAAUAUGACACAUAAAGGAGAGGAUGAGGCUAAGAAGCCAUUUUCCCAUGGAGGGGAAACCAGCUGAACUGAAAGGCAGCUCUGGGUGUGAUGGGCCACAAAACAUACCAGGGAGCAGCUGCCACCUCCUUGCCGGCAUCUCCUUUCCACCAGCCCCUUUCCCACUAGACAAAGAUUCCGGAUGAGUGGGAGGUUAACUUUCUUUUGUCCAGUGAGAGAGGAGCACCUCCGAGGCAUCAAACGAAGGGAUCAUUAGAAAUACUAUUGGGUAGGUAUCGAAAAAACGAUGUGUCUAAUAACAGGAUUACAAAUCCCUCGUGAGUCAAAUGGUUUCCAAUCCUUUGCUUUCAGAAUAAUUGGAGGGGGACAUAACCAGGUUGCCAGCUAACACCUCAUUAAGCAUCAUUUUUGAUCAUUCAUAAAAAGGUUUUUUAUGUAUGACUCAGAAGGAAUUUCACAAACUGAGUGGGAUUACGGCAACAAAACUCCACCCAUUCCCAUCGACUUGUCUG